rnacentral:lncRNA from 1 species
UUUUUUAUACAGCCAAGGAAAAUCCAACUGUUUGGCUUCAGGAUUGACGGAUACAGACAAUACAACUACCUCCUUGAUGAGAACCAGACAAUAGGUCAAGAUGGACAACUAGCUCAUGGGCCAGACUCAGUAAUUUCAAUGUUGGAUGAUGCUUUCGAAAAGUUUGGUAUGAAAGAAGAUGAGUGCCGAAUCCAUGCAGAUAAUUGUUAUGG